UCACUCCACGAAAACGAGCUACGACAACCAAGUCGUACCAAGUCGUUUUAGUCUCCGCUUCAUCGCAGAUUCUCAGCUCAGUUAAAGGAAACCGACCCCUCGAGACUCCAUUUCCAUAUCCGAUCUCCAUCCUCGAUCUCUUCUUCCUCCCAAGUCGUUUUAGUCUCCAAUUCAUCGCAGAUUCUCAGCUCAGUUAAAGGAAACCGACCCCUCGAGACUCCAUUUCCAUAUCCGAUCUCCAUCCUCGAUCUCUUCUUCCUCCUUGUUCCAUGGCGUCUUCUUCCUCUACCUCCUCCUCCGCUCCUCGCUUCAAUCACGAUGUCUUCCUUAGCUUCAGAGGCGAAGACACUCGUCACAACAUCACCGAUCAAAUCUACAAAGCCCUAAUCGCAAAAGGCAUCCACACUUUCAGAGACGAUGAUGAGCUUCGUAGAGGAGAAGACAUCGCUUCAGAGCUACUCAAAGCCAUCGAUGGAUCGAGGAUUUCUGUUAUUAUCUUUUCAAAGAAUUAUGCCAAUUCAAGGUGGUGUCUCGAUGAGCUUGUCAAGAUCAUGGAAUGCAGAGACAAGAACGGACAGCUCGUUUUGCCUGUUUUCUUUGAUGUCGAACCGGAGGUUGUGCGGGAUCAGAUUGGGUGCUAUAAGAAGCAUUUUGAGGAUCACGAAGUGCGUUUUGCAAAAGAAAUGAAGAGGGUGAAGGGAUGGAGAAGAGUUCUUGCCGAAUCUGCGAGUCUCUCGGGGUUUAUUAAAUCCCAAUAUGUCUCCGUCGGGGAUGAAACUUUUAUCCAGUGUAUUGUUGAAGAGGUUGUCACUAAACUGAAUCAAAUGCACUUGAAUAUUGCUGUCUACCCAGUUGGUAUUGACUCUCGUGUAGAAGAUAUUCGUUUUCUGUUAAGUGUGGGGUCAAAUGAUGUUCGCAUCAUUGGGGUUCAUGGUAUGGGAGGAAUAGGCAAGACAACAAUUGCUAAGGCCAUCUAUAAUGAAGUCUUUCACAAAUUUGAUGGCAGCAGUUUUCUUGCAAAUGUAAGAGUAGUUUCAGAACCCAAUGGUCUAGUUCAGUUACAAGAACAACUUCUUUCUGAUAUCCUAAUGAACAGGAACCUAAGGAUAGACGAUGUUGAUGAGGGAAUCAAAUUGAUCAAAAGCAGUCUCUUCCAUAAAAGGGUUCUUAUUGUUCUUGAUGAUGUGGAUCAAGCAGAAAAAUUCAGUGACUUGGCUAAGAUGCGUGACUGGUUCGGCCCAGGAAGUAGAAUCAUUAUUACAACUAGAGAUGAAGAACUGCUAAAUAACCUUAAAGUGGAUGAGACGUAUGAGGCCAAAGAAUUAAAUGCUGAACAAUCUCUUGAGCUGUUUAGUAGGCAUGCCUUCAGAGAAGACAAACCUGUGAAAGAUUAUGAGGAACUUUCAAAUGGUGUUGUAAGAUAUGUUGGAGGGCUUCCAUUAGCCCUUGAAGUGUUGGGUUCAUUUUUGUAUGACAAAAAGAGCACAUCUGAAUGGAUAAGUGCAUUAAUGAAAUUGGAAGUGCAUCCUCAUAAGCAGCUUAAGAGUAGACUUCUAUUUGAUGUCAAAGAAAAAGAAAUGGAUAUAUUCCUUGACAUUGCCUGUUUCUUUAUUGGGAUGGAUAAAGAUUAUGCCAUGAAAAUACUAGAUAGCUAUCAUCUUAACUUGGAAGCUGGAAUUAGUGCUCUCCGUCGAAGGUCUCUUGUAAAAAUCAAUGAAAACAAUGAGUUUAUAAUGCGCGAUCUGCUUAGAGACAUGGGAAGGGAGAUUGUUCGUGAACAAUCCCCUAAAGAACUUGGAAAACGUAGCAGAUUAUGGUCUCAUGAUGAAGCUUGUGAUGUAUUGGAGGGAGGCACGGGUACUGCAGUUGAGGGCCUCAUCCUAAACUCUCCUUUCAAGGUACAAUUGAGUACUGAAGCAUUUGAAAAGCUGUCCAAACUAAGAUUGCUCCAACUCAAUAAUGUACUGCUCACGGGAAGCUAUGAGCAUUUCUCCGAAGAACUAAGAUGGUUCUGUUGGCGAGAAUCUCCUUUGAAAUGUAUACCAAUCGAUUUUCGUCCAGACAAUCUUGUUGUUCUUGACAUGCAGUAUGGUAGUCUCAAACAGGUCUGGAAGGAAACCAAGUUCCUCAGAAGUUUGAAAAUCCUCAAUCUCAGCCAUUCCAAUCAUUUAUCCAGAACACCUGACUUUUUAGGACUUCCAAGUUUGGAGAAAUUGAUACUUGAAGGUUGUACAAGUUUGCCUGAAGUUCACCAAUCCAUUGGUCAUCUCGACAGACUUGUUCUCUUGAAUCUAAAAGACUGCAAAAUUCUCAAGAAUCUUCCUAGUAGCAUUUGUAAAUUGAAAGCUCUUGAAAGUCUUAUUCUCACGGGCUGCUCAAAGCUUGAUAAGCUACCAGAGGAUUUAGGGGAGAUGGAUUCUUUGACAGAGCUUUUUGCAGAUGAAAGUACUAUAGAGAAACUACCCUCCUCAAUUGGACACUUGAAGAACUUGAGAAGCUUAUCUUUAAGAGGAUGUAAAGGAUCACCAUCUAAGUCAUGGCUCUCAAUUUUCCGGGCCCGGGGACCUCAAAGGAGUCCUGAUUCCAUCACUCUAUUGCCAUCUUCUUUCCCAGGUUUAUGUUCAUUGAAAAAACUAAUUCUUGAGGAUUGCAAUAUGUCUGAUGCAAUUCCCAUUGAUCUUCAAAGAUUAUCCUCAUUGCAAGAGUUAUUUCUUGGCAAAAACAAUUUUUGUAGUCUAUCAACCAGAAUCAAUCACCUUCCUCAACUUCGUUUACUUGAUUUGGGAAAAUGUACCAGAUUACAAUCACUCCCGGAGCUUCCUUCAAGUUUAAGUAUCUUGAAUGCAAGCGACUGCAUCUGUACGGCAAGAUUGCCCGAUUUAUCAAACUUGCAUAACUUUCCAUCCUUGCUGUUCAUUAAUUGCCACAAGCUUAUUGAGAUUCAAACAAAAACUUCUACAAGGAAUCUCCUUCAGGGACUGUUGGAACGUGGUAUGAAGCUUGACAUCUUUUUUCCGGGGAAUGAGGUUCCGGACUGGUUCAUCCAUCAGUGCGUGGGGCCUUCAAUAUCAUUUGAACUUCCACCUUGCAAUCAUAAGAUCCUGGGGUUGACAGUCUGUGCUGUAUAUGCUACCAACAAAGAAGCUGAUAAGGUCACUGUUUUUGAUGGAGACAAGCACACUGGUCCUCCUUCAGCUAAAAUCAAUGUUGGAAGCAACAAUGGUGUGGCCUAUUAUCCAAAUGUCAAAGAUAUUCCUAUAACUCAUCAAGAUCACAUCUGGGUUUGCCAGGUUCCAGGUACUGCAUUUGGAAAUCGAUUGGAAGGUGGGGUUGGCAUUAAGGUUUCAAUAGAAAUAGGGAAGCCACUCAAGGUGAAGAAGUGUGGGAUCCAUCUUCAAUACCAGGAAAUAAAUGGGAAGGUACCACAACUAAGCAAUGGAGAAGCAAUUCAACAUGCCAGUGUUGUUGAUAUAUCAGCAGUAGCUAAGCUGAACUCUAAAACCAAGAGAGGCCAUAUUGACAUCGAGUCAGGACCCAGUAAUGGCAUACCUAAUGGGGACCAAGAAACCAGACGGUUGAGGACUGAAUCUGAUCCAACCAUGUAUUGAGCUUGGUUCAGUGGAGUAUGAAAUUACUUUUGAAGAAACUACAUUGAUUUCAUUUAGGCAUGCAACACUUGAAUUAGCUACCUCGAUCUGAGUUAUUCAUUUGUCAGUUCAUGCGCAUGCAGGAAGAGAGGUAUUUCUGUACCUUCCCUUGAGGAUUUUGUCUCUCUUUUAGAAGCUGAUGGCUUUCCAUACCCUGACAAUCCAUUGGAGUGAAUAUGGUUGCUCAUUUGCUAUCAGAGGCAUUCAUGGGAAAUCUAUUGAAGCGACCACUAGAGGACUCCUACUCGGAGUUCAACAAGCACAGGUGAAUGAUUGGAGGGUAAAGGAAGUGUGGAGUAAUUCUGAUGACCUGGAACAUCUGUUCUCUAACCUAACAACUACCUCAUAGCCUUGGAGCAUAGUACCUCUCUUUCUCAAUGUAUAUGACACUCUCUCCACCCUCUCCUUUUGGCUCAUGCCAAUGAAUGAUGUGGUUGUCGUUCUGGUCAAACCCUUGUUAGUUAAAACGCGUUUUAAAUGCGUUUGCGUUUUUUUGCCGUUUAAAACGCGUUUUACCUUAUGCUUCUACACAAUGCGGAAAAAAAGGGGAAUGACAGUAUAAAACAUUUUAAACGCGUUUUACACCCACGUUUAAAACGCGUAUACGUUUUGUAAGGGCAAAAUAGGAAUUUUGUCAUACUAUUUAAAAAAAAAAAACCCAAAACUAAAGACAACGUCAAAACCCUUCCAUUAGUUUUCUUCCCCAAAUCCCUAAUUCUGAAAUCACAUCCCGUAGCCAUAGUCCUGUGAGUUCGUGACUCCCGUCAUCUCUCCCUUCUUCUCCGUUGGUCAAAACUAAAGAAAACUAGGUUCGUUUUCCUCUGAAGUUUGAACCCUUCUUCUCUGUUGGUCAAUCGAAGAAAACUCAGAGAAAAGAAGAAGAGCAGUUCGUCGGAAGUCGUCGGAAGUUGAGAAAAGAAGAAGAGCAGGUCGUCGGAAGUUGUCUUAUGGUGGAAUCGGGCUUGAUGUUGAGGAGAUCUCAGAACGUUGGAGGAACUUGUUCGUCCAGCAGCAUUUGCAGCAGUGGGUCUUCGUUGAGUAGCUGCUGAGGUUCAAAGAGAUCGAUCAGAACAUUGGUGGAACUUGUUCGUCGAGCAGCAUCUGCGGUAGUGUGUCUUCGUUGAGUAGCUGUUGCAGAGGUUCAAAGAGAUCGAAGGUUUUGCAAUUAAAUUGAAGAUCAAACUUUUGACUACACAAAUUAUAUCCAAAGGUUAAUUCCUGCACUCUCUCUCAAUCAGUUUCAAGCAUGGCUCUGCUUUUCUAUUUGGUGUACAUUAGGAUGAACUCUAUGAUGAGGGGGAGAACUAUGAAAGCCAACUACAUAAAGAUUCAAGGCCUAUUGAUUUAGGCAAUCUUGGUGACUUACCUAUAAUAGACUUUGAGCUUGAAAUGGAGAGGCUUAAGCAGACGUAUGAGGAACCUGAACCAUCUGACACUAGAGCUGAUGGAUGAUCUACUUCAUAUAGUUUAAUGUCUCCUCAUUGAUCCUUUUUUUUUUUUUUUUUUUUUUUUUUUUUUUUUUUUUU